UUAGAACGACUUGUCCUCAAGUCGAGCCAUUGGUUCACUCGAUCACAACAACUUUUACUCAGCUUUCCUCGGUCGAACGGGACGGAUUGGAAUUGGAACAACUGAAAGGAAUAACCAUGAGUUAGUAAAAAGUGUUUCAGAUAAAUUUGUAAUCCAUAUGCAAGCAGAAUAGAACAAGAAAAUCCCAUGCGAGUGGACAGAUGCAAAGCAACAUGUUGACAAUAAUGCAAACAAAUUAAUUUACUCGCUAAUGCCUCGUCAAUUAUUCGAAACAAAAAUGAACAUGUUCUAAGGCAUUCAAAUGUCUCAAAUUGUUUCCACAAGUCAUAACCAGCAUGUGAAUAACGAGUCAAAUCAACAACACUAUCUUUGUCACCACCUAAAGAGUACAACGAUGUUUCAAAAAGUUCAUGAGGCUUACCUUUAAA
rnacentral:lncRNA from 1 species